UACGUAGGGUGCGAGCGUUUGUCCGGAAUUAUUGGGCGUAAAGAGCUUGUAGGCGGUUUGUCGCGUCUGCUGUGAAAAUCCGGGGCUCAACCCCGGACUUGCAGUGGGUACGGGCAGACUAGAGUGUGGUAGGGGAGACUGGAAUUCCUGGUGUAGCGGUGAAAUGCGCAGAUAUCAGGAGGAACACCGAUGGCGAAGGCAGGUCUCUGGGCCACUACUGACGCUGGAGAAAGCGAAAAGCGUGGGGAGCGAACAGG
rnacentral:rRNA from 1 species